rnacentral:tRNA from 1 species
GCACCCGUAGCUCAGCUGGAUAGAGCACCAGACUACGAAUCUGGGGGUCAGAGGUUCGAAUCCUCUCGGGCGCG